AACAAGCUGCAGGUUGGUACCAGAGUCAAAGCUCCGUCCUACAGUCAUUAUGUUCUUGUACUGAUCUGUGUCGUGUCUUUAAACUCGCUCUUCUGCUUUCAAGGCUGACUGUGAAGAGGAGACAGAAACCACCCAAAUCAAGAUGUUUCACUCUUCAGACUGUGAUUUUGCUCUCAUCCAUCCUCUGUGUGCAUCAUGGGCUUCUUACUCUGUUUCUCUGUGGAUUUUUAUCCUCUGUUUCGUUUUAGUCAAAGGAAAAUCUCAUCUGGUGUGUCCAGCUCAGGUUGUAGCCAUGAUGGGUGAUGAUGUUGUUCUUCCAUGUCAGCUUAAACUUGCUGUUGAUACUAACUCUCAGACUGUGAACUGGAUCAAACCUGGUCUGGACCCAGAUGUCGUCCACCUUCAUAAAGAUGGACGGCUGGUGUUUGAGAACCAAAACCCAUCUUAUCACUUUCGUACUCGAGUCUUUGUGGAUGAAUUGAUCAAAGGGAACGUCUCACUCAAAAUAUUCAAAGUGAAACUCUCUGAUGAAGGAACGUACAGAUGCUCCAUUCCCUGGAUACCUGAAGAAGCUUCCAUUGUU